GACGAACGCUGGCGGCGUGCUUAACACAUGCAAGUCGAACGGAAAGGCUCCAGCUUGCUGGAGUACUCGAGUGGCGAACGGGUGAGUAACACGUGGGUAAUCUGCCCUGCACUCUGGGAUAAGCCUGGGAAACUGGGUCUAAUACUGGAUAUGACCUUUCUCCUUAUGGGGUUUGGUGGAAAGUUUUUCGGUGUAGGAUGAGCCCGCGGCCUAUCAGCUUGUUGGUGGGGUGAUGGCCUACCAAGGCGACGACGGGUAGCCGGCCUGAGAGGGUGAUCGGCCACAUUGGGACUGAGAUACGGCCCAGACUCAUACGGGAGGCAGCAGUGGGGAAUAUUGCACAAUGGGCGGAAGCCUGAUGCAGCGACGCCGCGUGAGGGAUGACGGCCUUCGGGUUGUAAACCUCUUUCAGCAGGGACGAAGCGUAAGUGACGGUACCUGCAGAAGAAGCACCGGCUAACUAUGUG
rnacentral:rRNA from 1 species